rnacentral:sRNA from 1 species
UUCUGUAAUGUUUGUGACAAAAUAGUUUUUAAAACUUCUUCAUCGCAUGCCAAAAUCAUUUUUUCGCCUAUUGUGUGAUUUUUUCCAAAUUUCGCAAUAAGUAAAAGAUUAUUAUUAUAGCUUUUCAUAUA